GUGGGGAAUAUUGGACAAUGGGCGAAAGCCUGAUCCAGCCAUGCCGCGUGUGUGAAGAAGGUCUUCGGAUUGUAAAGCACUUUAAGUUGGGGGGAAGGGCAUUAACCUAAUACGUUAGUGUUUUGACGUUACCGACAGAAUAAGCACCGGCUAACUUCGUGCCAGCAGCCGCGGUAAUACGAAGGGUGCAAGCGUUAAUCGGAAUUACUGGGCGUAAAGCGCGCGUAGGUGGUUCGUUAAGUUGGAUGUGAAAGCCCCGGGCUCAACCUGGGAACUGCAUCCAAAACUGGCGAGCUAGAGUACGGUAGAGGGUGGUGGAAUUUCCUGUGUAGCGGUGAAAUGCGUAGAUAUAGGAAGGAACACCAGUGGCGAAGGCGACCACCUGGACUGAUACUGACACUGAGGUGCGAAAGCGUGGGGAGCAAACAGGAUUAGAAACCCCAGUAGUCC
rnacentral:rRNA from 1 species